AUUAGACAUGUGGUAGAUGAAAAUGCUAGGUUUCAGGGCGUCUUUAAUUUAAGGCAAAAUACUGCCCGAAUGCAAGUGCAUUUCAAAGUGUUUUAAGGAUGAAGUAGACCUAAAUAGCCCUCAGAGGGAAAGGCUUCUAAGCUUUUAUCCUGCGUUAAUGUUUCUUGAUUGAGUCGCAACGUACCUGCAAAACACUACCUUGGCUAAAAACUUAUAAUCACUUGCUGAAAACUAGCAUUUCCAACUGCCACGUGUAUAUAUU
rnacentral:lncRNA from 1 species